CACCCCCAGCAGUGGGCAAAGAGACCCCUCGGUGGUGGUAGUGUUCUUGUAUCAGUUAGGGGCACAGUAGAUGGCAGCCCUUUGUUCGUCCUAGUUUGAUGCUUGGCUUGGUGGCCAAAGCUGUGUUAUAUCUAGGAUUCAUAA